AUGUCUAGAGCUGGCACUGAAACUUUACUGAAAUCAAAGACUCAAGCUAUACCCACCUUCAUCUCAAGCUGUUUCCGUUUGCCUCUGGCUAUCUGCGAGAAGUUCAGGCAAAUCGUGUCUGACCAAUGGUGGGGCCGCGAGGAUGGCAAGAAGAAAAUGCAUUGGUGCUCAUGGGAGUGGCUCUCUACACCGAAAUCCCUUGGGGGCGUGGGCUUUGGGGAUAUGGCGCUCUUCAAUCGUGCUAUGUUGGGAAAACAAGGUUGGAGGCUGCUGACUGAUCCCGAAUCUUUGUGUGCAUAGGUUUUAAAGGGAAGGUAUUUUCCUUUUGGUGACUUCUGGAAUGCUACUGCUCCUCGUUCUGCCUCGGCCACUUGGCGUGCUAUUCUGCAUGGUCGGGACCUGCUCAAGAAAGGUGUGCAAUGGGGGAUAGGGGAUGGCAGAAGUACCCACAUUGUCAAUGAUCAUUAGAUCCCCUCUACUCCUCCUGCUAUGCUUCGACCUCUAUCCCCCAUUCCAAGUUCAGCUACGGUCCACUGCUUUCUUGAUGAGGACAACGGGGGAUGGAAUGAGGAAUCAGUGAGAGCUUUCUUUUCUGGAGAGGUGGCUAACGACAUUCUCAAGAUCCCUGUUAAUUUGGCGGGAGGCCGGACUAUGUGCACUGGCCAUUCACAAAAUAUGGUCAAUACUCUGUCCGCUCAGCCUACAACAUGGCCAGGACGAGCAUGUUUCUGUCGGCUCGAAGUGGAAAUGGUGGGGGUCAGCACUCCAGUUGGUCCUUGGAGGAAAAGCAGUGGAAGAAGCUCUGGAACAUUAAGGUUCCAAACAAGAUGA
rnacentral:rRNA from 1 species